AGAGUUUGAUUCUGGCUCAGGACGAACGCUGGCGGCAUGCCUAACACAUGCAAGUCGAACGGAAGUAGCAAUACUUUAGUGGCGAACGGGUGAGUAACGCGUGAGCAACCUGCCCUAUACAACGGGAUAACACAGAGAAAUUUGUGCUAAUACGGUAUAAGACCACAGUAUCGCAUGAUACAGGGGUAAAAGAAAUAUUCGGUAUAGGAUGGGCUCGCGACCCAUUAGCUAGUUGGUGAGGUAACGGCCCACCAAGGCAACGAUGGGUAGCCGACCUGAGAGGGUGAUCGGCCACACUGGGACUGAGACACGGCCCAGACUCCUACGGGAGGCAGCAGUGGGGGAUAUUGCACAAUGGGGGGAACCCUGAUGCAGCGACGCCGCGUGGGUGAAGAAGCGCCUCGGCGCGUAAAGCCCUGUCAGCAGGGAAGAAAAUGACGGUACCUGAAGAAGAAGCCCCGGCUAACUACGUGCCAGCAGCCGCGGUAAUACGUAGGGGGCAAGCGUUGUUCGGAAUGACUGGGCGUAAAGGGUGCGUAGGCGGUGUAGCAAGUUAGAAGUGAAAUACCUAGAGCUUAACUCAGGUGCUGCUUCUAAAACUGCUAUACUUGAGUGCAGUAGAGGAAAGUGGAAUUCCUAGUGUAGCGGUGGAAUGCGUAGAUAUUAGGAGGAACAUCAGUGGCGAAGGCGACUUUCUGGACUGUAACUGACGCUGAGGCACGAAAGUGUGGGGAGCAAACAGGAUUAGAUACCCUGGUAGUCCACACUGUAAACGAUGGAUACUAGGUGUAGGAGGUAUCGACUCCUUCUGCGCCGAAGCUAACGCAUUAAGUAUCCCGCCUGGGGAGUACGGCCGCAAGGUUGAAACUCAAAGAAAUUGACGGGGACCCGCACAAGCAGCGGAGCAUGUGGUUUAAUUCGAAGCAACGCGAAGAACCUUACCAAGACUUGACAUCGCAUGAUCGCCUAAGAGAUUAGGUUUUCCCUUCGGGGACAUGUAGACAGGUGGUGCAUGGUUGUCGUCAGCUCGUGUCGUGAGAUGUUGGGUUAAGUC
rnacentral:rRNA from 1 species